AUGCAAGACGGCCUCUCGGUUGUCCUGAUCCAACAAUUCUACGACCUUUGGAGACAAACUCAGGCGGUGCAUUUGACUCCAGGUACUAAGGAUGGCAUCCGUUGGAAGUUCACCACGGAUGGAUGCUACUCUACCGCUACUGUGUACAGGACGCAGUUUGCUGGUUUGAUCAAGUCUGCAAUGGCUUAGAUGGUUUGGAAGAUCUAGGCACUUCCCAAGAUUAAAUUCUUCUCAUGGCUUGGCCUGCAAGACAGAAUCUGGAUGGUUGAUGGGCUCCAGCGUAGAGGUUGGCCAAAUUGUGGUCUUUCUCAGCUAUAUAAAAGUGAACCGGAAUCGGUGGCGCAUAUCAUGUUCAAGUGCCGCUUCACUAUUAGGGUGUGGAACUUCAUUUUCGAUUGGCUGGGCUGGCAAUCGGCGACCCCAUCCUAG
rnacentral:rRNA from 1 species